rnacentral:rRNA from 1 species
AUUGAACGCUGGCGGCAGGCCUAACACAUGCAAGUCGAGCGGAUGAAGGGAGCUUGCUUCUGGAUUCAGCGGCGGACGGGUGAGUAAUGCCUAGGAAUCUGCCUGGUAGUGGGGGAUAACGUCCGGAAACGGGCGCUAAUACCGCAUACGUCCUGAGGGAGAAAGUGGGGGAUCUUCGGACCUCACGCUAUCAGAUGAGCCUAGGUCGGAUUAGCUAGUUGGUGGGGUAAAGGCCUACCAAGGCGACGAUCCGUAACUGGUCUGAGAGGAUGAUCAGUCACACUGGAACUGAGACACGGUCCAGACUCCUACGGGAGGCAGCAGUGGGGAAUAUUGGACAAUGGGCGAAAGCCUGAUCCAGCCAUGCCGCGUGUGUGAAGAAGGUCUACGGAUUGUAAAGCACGUUAAGUUGGGAGGAAGGGCAGUAAGUUAAUACCUUGCUGUUUUGACGUUACCAACAGAAUAAGCACCGGCUAACUUCGUG